AGUGUUGUUAAGAAGGUAGAAACUAGGGCCUGUAGGACCUGCCUUGUUGAUAGUGUUGUUAAGAAGGUAGAAACUAGGGCCUGUAGGACCUGCCUUGUUGAUAGUGUUGUUAAGAAGGUAGAAACUAGGGCCUGUAGGACCUGCCUUGUUGAUAGUGUUGUUAAGAAGGUAGAAACUAGGGCCUGUAGGACCUGCCUUGUUGAUAGUGUUGUUAAGAAGGUAGAAACUAGGGCCUGUAGGACCUGCCUUGUUGAUAGUGUUGUUAAGAAGGUAGAAACUAGGGCCUGUAGGACCUGCCUUGUUGAUAGUGUUGUUAAGAAGGUAGAAACUAGGGCCUGUAGGACCUGCCUUGUUGAUAGUGUUGUUAAGAAGGUAGAAACUAGGGCCUGUAGGACCUGCCUUGUUGAUAGUGUUGUUAAGAAGGUAGAAACUAGGGCCUGUAGGACGUGCCUUGUUGACAG